CCUACGGGAGGCAGCAGUGGGGAAUAUUGGACAAUGGGGGGAACCCUGAUCCAGCCAUGCCGCGUGUGUGAAGAAGGCCCUCGGGUUGUAAAGCACUUUCAGUGAGGAAGAACGCCUGGUGGUUAAUACCCAUCAGGAAAGACAUCACUCACAGAAGAAGCACCGGCUAACUCCGUGCCAGCAGCCGCGGUAAUGCGGAGGGUGCGAGCGUUAAUCGGAAUUACUGGGCGUAAAGCGCGCGUAGGUGGCUUGAUAAGCCGGUUGUGAAAGCCCCGGGCUCAACCUGGGAACGGCAUCCGGAACUGUCAAGCUAGAGUGCAGGAGAGGAAGGUAGAAUUCCCGGUGUAGCGGUGAAAUGCGUAGAGAUCGGGAGGAAUACCAGUGGCGAAGGCGGCCUUCUGGACUGACACUGACACUGAGGUGCGAAAGCGUGGGUAGCAAACAGGAUUAGAUACCCUAGUAGUC
rnacentral:rRNA from 1 species